UACGUAGGGUGCAAGCGUUGUCCGGAAUUAUUGGGCGUAAAGAGCUCGUAGGCGGCUCGUCGCGUCGGCCGUGAAAACCUAGGGCUUAACCCUGGGCUUGCGGUCGAUACGGGCGGGCUAGAGUUCGGUAGGGGAGACUGGAAUUCCUGGUGUAGCGGUGAAAUGCGCAGAUAUCAGGAGGAACACCGGUGGCGAAGGCGGUUCUCUGGGCCUUACCUGACGCUGAGGAGCGAAAGCAUGGGGAGCAAACAGG
rnacentral:rRNA from 1 species